AAAUUAUCUGUAGAUAUGCUAUUAUUACUGAUGGUGUUUCUAAUUCUCUUUAUCCAGAUCACACCAAUUUAAGGAAAAAGGCAUAGAGCAUCAGAUAAGAGCGAUGGUUGUGAUCAUGUGACCUUGAACACUUUUUGGGCAGCGAGAGAGCAGAAAGAAGAAGCAGAAAGAGUAAAGAGAAAUCAUCUUUCACAAGAAGAACUAAAGAAAGGAAGGAAGGAAGGAAGGAAGGAAGAAAGAAAGAAAGAAAGAAAGAAAGAAAGAAAGAAAGAAAGGAAGGAAGGAAGAAAGAAAGCAAGAGGGUUCUUUUCAGUGGAACUUCAGGAGCAAUAUCUUCUACCUCCAGACUCCCUUGUAGGUGCUUGAAGGAGUUGAGAAAGAUUUUCAGUGGAUAUACUUUCAGCCAUUAUCUGUGAGUUCAGCCCUGAGUCUUGAUCUAGGCUGUACAGAGCUUUGUAUCCUCAGGUUUGUAGUCCCCUUUCUUCAAUUUCCCUGGAGAGUGAGUGUCAAGUCUCUGGCUGCCUGAGGUACUUUCUGAUGGAUGGAGUUGUGUGUGUGUGGGGCAGGAGGCAGAGCAGCACUUGUGACAUAAACUUUCAACUUAC
rnacentral:lncRNA from 1 species